rnacentral:lncRNA from 1 species
CCACAAGGAGAACACUGACGCACCAACUAACAGAGCUUCAGGGUAGUAAGGGAAAAGCUGCCAGACCUGGAAGAACCAGGGAAAAGCUGCCAGACCUGGAAGAACCACUCGAAAAUGUUUUCAAUAAUUUACACAACAGUUUGAAGAGAAAAUCGGCAACAGUGUGGAGAAUUUGCACAAUACUUCCAACAAAUCGGGAUAGAGACGGUGCUGACUCUCACACGGUACUGAAGAAAACAAAGUGGAGAGAGAUCCUGCUUGUUCGUGACACUGGUCAGCAAGGGACAAGGGGACCCAGAGGCUGGAGUGCACGCAAACACCACAUUCCCCGAAAGACUGGAAACACAAACUAGAGAAUGAUCUCUGAAACCCUAGCGGUGGGGGCUCUACACACAGGGACAGCUUCUAUGGAAGCUUUGACUUAACUGUGUCUGCUGUCCUCUUCAUUCGGCUGAGUUCGUCCUAAGUCACACCGACCUGCAUUUCAUGAGCGACUAGACCACUAGUCAUACAACAAUACCAACCUCCUUUGGAUCCUGGCCAGGGCUGUGUGGAUUCUCUCCCUGUACCGCUUGCACUUCUCCUUGGUGAUGUUGACGUGGAUCAAGCUCCCAUCCUUCCAGGGGACGUGGAUGAAUCUGUUGCAGUAUUUGGCAUGGAUAGUCUUCUUAUUGGUGUCCUGAGGGAAGGACAAAGUUGGGGGCUAGAGCGGGUCCUUAGAAACUCCCUUUGCUAAAACCAAAUAAAGACGACGCCUUGCUUGGGCUCCCAAGGUAACU